rnacentral:rRNA from 1 species
AUGUAGAACGAUAGCUAAUACUGGAUAGGACAUAAGACCACAUGGUCUAAUGUUUAAAGGGUGCGAUUGCACCGCUAUGGGAUGGUCUUGCGCUGCAUUAGCUAGUUGGUAAGGUAACGGCUUACCAAGGCGACGAUGCAUAGCUGGUCUGAGAGGAUGAACAGCCACACUGGGACUGAGACACGGCCCAGACUCCUACGGGAGGCAGCAGUAGGGAAUUUUCGGCAAUGGGCGAAAGCCUGACCGAGCAAUGCCGCGUGAACGAUGAAGGUCUUCGGAUCGUAAAGUUCUGUUGAUAAGGAAGAACACUAGGUGUAGGAAAUGACAUUUAGCUGACGGUACUUAUCCAGAAAGCUCCGGCUAACUACGUG